UAAUUGGUGGCCUGAAGUCAC
rnacentral:siRNA from 1 species